UUUCUGUUGAUUCUGACUUUC
rnacentral:piRNA from 1 species